rnacentral:rRNA from 1 species
GACGAACGCUGGCGGCGUGCUUAACACAUGCCAGUCGAACGGAAAGGCCCCUUCGGGGGUACUCGAGUGGCGAACAGGUGAGUAACACGUGAGUAACCUGCCCUUGACUUCGGGAUAACUUCAGGAAACUGGGGCUAAUACCGGAUAGGAAUCCUUGCUGCAUGGUGGGGGUUGGAAAGCUUCGGCGGUUUUGGAUGGACUCGCGGCUUAUCAGCUUGUUGGUGGGGUAGUGGCUUACCAAGGCUUUGACGGGUAGCCGGCCUGAGAGGGCGACCGGCCACAUUGGGACUGAGAUACGGCCCAGACUCCUACGGGAGGCAGCAGUGGGGAAUAUUGCACAAUGGGCGGAAGCCUGAUGCAGCAACGCCGCGUGCGGGAUGACGGCCUUCGGGUUGUAAACCGCUUUCAGCAGGGGCGAAGCUUGUGGUGACGGUACCUGCAGAAGAAGCACCGGCUAACUACGUG